AUAUCAUUUUAAAGAAAAGAAGAGAUUUCUCGAGCACCCUGGCACCAGAAUUUUUUUUUUUUUUAAAAGAACCUUCUUUAUCCUGUACAGGAAUAUCUGCUGGCAUCAUCAACCUCGUUGAGAUCAAGAACAGGAUCCAUAGGAAUCUUCGUGGAUAUAAUCCCCUGCAAUUUUCUUAAGCAGUACAGGAUUUUUGAAGCAAAUCCAUAAAAUUGCAAAGGAAAUUUGAUUUUACAACCUCGAGGAUUCCUGAAAAUUUUCCUUGCCUGAGAGGAUCUAAAGAAGAUCAAGAACAGGAUCGAUAGGAAUCUUCGUGGAUAUAAUCCCCUGCAAUUUUCUUAAGUAGUACAGGAUUUUGAAGCAAAUCCAUAAAAUUGCAAAGGAAAUUUGUUAUUACAACCUCGGGGAUUCCUGUAAAUUUUCCUUGCCUGAGAGGAUCUGCAGAGCCUCCUCCACCAUUACACAAAUCAGAUUUAUAAAUUGAUGGAAGAUUUUUAAAAAGGCCAGGCAAUGGCAGUCCAGCAGUCAUGGCGGUGGCCGCUGCAAGUGCAGCAACAUUUGGUUCAGGUUAAUAGAGAGAGGAGUGAGGAGAGUAUUCUUUGCAAGGUUAUGUUGUCAGAUUUCCUCCAAAAGAGUAAGAUGUAAAGUUCAUGGAAAGGCCUAGAGCCUCCAAGUGUAUUGUAACUAUAGACACAUAAAUUUUUCCACUUAAUUAAAUCAAUAUUUAGUAUU